AUGCGUAGCCAACCUGAGAGGGUGAUCGGCCACACUGGAACUGAGACACGGUCCAGACUCCUACGGGAGGCAGCAGUAGGGAAUCUUCCGCAAUGGGCGAAAGCCUGACGGAGCAACGCCGCGUGAGUGAUGAAGGUCUUCGGAUCGUAAAACUCUGUUAUUAGGGAACAACAAAUGUGUAAGUAACUAUGCACGUCUUGACGGUACCUAAACAGAAAGCCGGGGCUAACUACGUGCCAACAGCCGCGGCAAUACGUAAGAGGCAAGCGUUAUCCGGAAUUAUUGGGCGUAAAGCGCGCGUAAGCGGGUUUUUAAGACUGAUGUGAGGGCCCACGGCUCAAGGGUGGGGGGUCAUUGGAGACUGG
rnacentral:rRNA from 1 species